rnacentral:tRNA from 1 species
GGAGUUGUGGCUCAGUGGUAGAGCACUUGCCUGGCAUGUGAGAGGCCCUAGGUUCAAUCCUUGGAACCGCA